CGAGCGAGCUUGCCUAGAUGAUUUUAGUGCUUGCACUAAAUGAAACUAGAUACAAGCGAGCGGCGGACGGGUGAGUAACACGUGGGUAACCUGCCCAAGAGACUGGGAUAACACCUGGAAACAGAUGCUAAUACCGGAUAACAACACUAGACGCAUGUCUAGAGUUUGAAAGAUGGUUCUGCUAUCACUCUUGGAUGGACCUGCGGUGCAUUAGCUAGUUGGUAAGGUAACGGCUUACCAAGGCAAUGAUGCAUAGCCGAGCUGAGAGACUGAUCGGCCACAUUGGGACUGAGACACGGCCCAAACUCCUACGGGAGGCAGCAGUAGGGAAUCUUCCACAAUGGACGAAAGUCUGAUGGAGCAACGCCGCGUGAGUGAAGAAGGGUUUCGGCUCGUAAAGCUCUGUUGGUAGUGAAGAAAGAUAGAGGUAGUAACUGGCCUUUAUUUGACGGUAAUUACUUAGAAAGUCACGGCUAACUACGUGCCAGCAGCCGCGGUAAUACGUAGGUGGCAAGCGUUGUCCGGAUUUAUUGGGCAUAAAGCGAGUGCAGGCGGUUCAAUAAGUCUGAUGUGAAAGCCUUCGGCUCAACCGGAGAAUUGCAUCAGAAACUGUUGAACUUGAGUGCAGAAGAGGAGAGUGGAACUCCAUGUGUAGCGGUGGAAUGCGUAGAUAUAUGGAAGAACACCAGUGGCGAAGGCGGCUCUCUGGUCUGCAACUGACGCUGAGGCUCGAAAGCAUGGGUAGCGAACAGGAUUAGAUACCCUGGUAGUCCAUGCCGUAAACGAUGAGUGCUGAGUGUUGGGAGGUUUCCGCCUCUCAGUGCUGCAGCUAACGCAUUAAGCACUCCGCCUGGGGAGUACG
rnacentral:rRNA from 1 species